UUCUAGGUUCCCAGAUAUCUCAGGUGUAGUCUGUUUAUGUUUUCAAGUAAGAGAAGAAAUUAUUUGAAGCCCACAGUAUUUUAGUCAAGCAGCUACAACACAUGCUGUCUUUUGAGAGCGCUGUGCUGGUCCCAUCCCCUCCAUGAAAUGCUAUGUCAGGCAUUCCCAAAGCAAUUUUUUUUAAAAUGCUGCCUCUCUGAGCUCUCCUCCAAACUGUAAUGCAGAGCCAAAUCUGUCAGGCCAGGCUCUCCUCUCUCUGAAUUACCAGCAGCCAAGAUUAAUUAGCACCCAGAGCAUUUCCAGCUGUGCCGUUUGUGCGAUGCUGCUGCCGAGAUGCGUCACCACUCACCAGUUCUCAUCCAGAUACCAAGACAAGCCUUCUGUGCAGGUAAUGCAAAGGGAAAGUUUGCAAGCAAUUGGACAUUCUGGGAAUCACAAAGACCUGGAAAAAACAAAUGAGAAGACACAGAAGCGAAAUCUGAAAUUCCUCAAGAAUUCAGCCACUUUCAUUUGACAGAUCAUGAGAACAAGACAGAUCAUGACCUGCUUAUGCCCAACCACUGCAGAUCCUGCCGUGCAGCACAGCUGAGAGUGUUUUAAAUUCCCAGGGCCUGGAGCUAGGAAGAGACCCUCUGGGGAAGGGACAGGAUGUGUUUUAUACUGGGGUUUGCCAGCACUGAGCCAGCUGGGCGAGCCUGACCUCAUUACAAACCUGGAGCAAGUGCACAAACUGACUUAUUUUGGCUCUACAUGACUGGGACAGCAUCACAUCAAUACAUUUGUGAGAAGAUGAAUCAGACCAGCCAGACUUUAGCAAGACUAAAAUUAUCCUAAAAAAGAGCUUCAGGGGUACCUAUCUGUAGAGUGAGAACUUUUCUUCCUUGAAGAAAAGGAACAUGGAGAUUUUGGCAAAAUUUGAUCAGUGUCCACCUUGUAGGUAUACUCAGCAGCUGCCUCUGUCCCUGCUGGACCUCACAUGGGUUUCUGAAGGAACAACUGCCUCAA